rnacentral:rRNA from 1 species
UACGGGGGGGGCAAGCGUUGUUCGGAAUUACUGGGCGUAAAGGGCACGUAGGCGGUGAAUCGGGUUGAAAGUGAAAGUCGCCAAAAAGUGGCGGAAUGCUCUCGAAACCAAUUCACUUGAGUGAGACAGAGGAGAGUGGAAUUUCGUGUGUAGGGGUGAAAUCCGUAAAUAUACGAAGGAACGCCAAAAGCGAAGGCAGCUCUCUGGGUCCCUACCGACGCUAGGGUGCGAAAGCAUGGGGAGCGAACAGG